UUUGAUGACGGAGGAUGCUGUGAAACCCACCUUUAAGGUGAAGAAAGCCCUGUGAGCUCAGUUUGCAGAAUAAUUUUGCUGUGUGAAGGAGAACUCCAAAGGAUGAAGCUGAGUUGGAGGAUUUACCCGACAGAGGCAAUGGGACUUCAGUGUAAGGACCUAAUCCAGCCCAAGCGRAGGGCCACCGACGGGAAUGGCCUCAUGCCUCUCCCAGUGUGCUGAAGCUGCUUGG
rnacentral:lncRNA from 1 species